AGGGAGGCGGGAGGGAGCACUGGAGCCCCCAGGAGGACACAUCAGUUCAGCUGCUGCUGCCUGAUCGCACACCUCAUAGCACCCAGCACAUCAUACACAGUAUAGAUCUGCCCCGGGUUGCCUGCAUCAGUGUCCAUGCUGUGAGUUAACCCCCAGCGGCUGCGGACAUGGACGCCACUGCACUGAAGCUGGAUGCGCUGAAGUUCACAAAGCUGUGUUCCACUACAAGCGCUACAGCCAUGAGGACUGUAUCAUGCGUCUACCUUGGAACGCAAACCGCUGGGUUGCUAUGGUGACCGGCGAGAGAAGUGCGGCAUGUGACAGUUUCCGGCUGAUUGCAGCAUGCAGGAGGUGGCGUGGUGGUGAGCGUGGAUGCUGUAUGUGAGUAUUUUAGUGGGUCAAAUUUACAUUCGACCUAUUCUAUGCCGGUACAGGAGAAAACCACGUGGAUCAGCGAAUUCACCGCCGUAACACAUGUUUUGUAGAAAACGAAAAGGAGAUCUAAUGGGUCAGAAGAAACAGCAGGUGCACCCACCUAAACACCAGACAUUACUCCAGUCCUUUCUUUGUCUAUUGCCACAAGUUUGCCUGAAGUUCAUCUUACGUUUUGCUGGUUUUAACUUUUAAGACAUUCUCAUAAUUGGAUCUUUCCUUCCACUUACCAGUUGUUUCUCAGUCUGAGUUUAUGAAUACUACUAUUAAAUACUGUUAAUUCU